GAUGAACGCUGGCGGCGUGCCUAAUACAUGCAAGUCGAACGGGAGGCUUAGGAUAACUAAGCCGAGAGUGGCGCACGGGUGAGUAACACAUGGCUGACCUGCCCUCCAGAGGGGGAUAACGGCUGGAAACGGCCGCUAAUACCCCAUACGCUCCCUGAGGUUAGAGGCUUAGGGAGGAAAGCCGAGGUGCUGGAGGAGGGGGCUGUGGCCCAUCAGCUAGUUGGUAGGGUAAAGGCCUACCAAGGCGACGACGGGUAGGGGGCCUGAGAGGGUGACCCCCCACACUGGGACUGAGACACGGCCCAGACUCCUACGGGAGGCAGCAGUAAGGGAUCUUGCGACAAUGGGCGAAAGCCUGACGCAGCAACGCCGCGUGCGGGAUGACGGCCUUCGGGUUGUAAACCGCUUUUCGAGGGGAAGAGGGAGGACGGUACCCUCGGAAUAAGUCUCGGCUAACUACGUGCCAGCAGCCGCGGUAAAACGUAGGAGGCGAGCGUUAUCCGGAUUUACUGGGUGUAAAGCGCGUGCAGGCGGUCGUGUAAGUGGUGCGUGAAAGCUCCCGGCUCAACCGGGAGAGGACGUGCCAAACUGCAGGGCUAGAGGCAGGUAGAGGCGUGUGGAAUUCCGGGUGUAGUGGUGAAAUGCGUAGAGAUCCGGAGGAACACCAGUGGCGAAGGCGACACGCUGGGCCUGGCCUGACGCUCAGACGCGAAAGCAUGGGGAGCGAACGGGAUUAGAAACCCCGGUAGUCCAUGCUGUAAACGAUGCUGACUAGGUGUUGCGGGUGAGAUAAUCCGGCAGUGCCGAAGCCAACGUGGUAAGUCAGCCACCUGGGGACUACGGCCGCAAGGUUAA
rnacentral:rRNA from 1 species